GCUGGACCAUCCUGGGUAUAAAUAGGUGAGGCUCUGAGGUUUCGGGCAUCAGUCUUCCAGUGAGAGGCUUCAUCACAAACUCAUCCAAAAUGAAGGUUGCUCUGGUUCUCGCCCUCGUGGCCUGCGCUGCCGCCCUGCCCACUCCCGAGGCCGACCCUCAGCUUCUGUACACCAGCCCCCUCGUCACCUACCCCGUCGUCAAGACUGUCAAGGCCGACACCCCCGCCAGCACCGUCCCCCUC